rnacentral:rRNA from 1 species
CAAUAGCGUAUAUUAAAGCUGUUGCGGUUAAAAAGCUCGUAGUUGGAUUUCUGUCAAGGACAACUGGUCCGCCCUCCGGGUGAGCACAUAGUUUGGUCUUGGCAUCUUGCUGGAAACUGUUGCUGCGCUUGGUUGUGUGGUGCAGCUUUCAGCACUUUCACUUUGAGGAAAUUGGAGUGUUUCAAGCAGGCACAUGCCUUUGGACACAGUAGCAUGGAAUAAUUAGAUUGGGCUUUUGCUCCAACUUGUUGGUUCCUGGAGCUGAGGUGAGAAUCAAUGGGGAUUGUUGGGGGUAUCCGAAUUUAGCCGUCAGAGGUGAAAUUCUUGGAUCUGCUAAAGACGGACAACUGCGAAAGCGUUUGCCCAGGAUGUUUUCAUUGA